GCUCACUUCUGCCGAGCUUAUACUAAAAUCAGAAGGGUACAGAGAAGAAGGGCAUGGCCCCGGGCAAGAAUGACGCGCAAAUUUAUUAAGCAUUCCAUGAUUAA